ACCAACAGAUUCAUACUCGCUUAGUUCGUGCUGCGAGUUUUUCCGUAUAUUAUCCUCAUAUUCAUACGUUGUGGAGCUUAUAAUUGCACAAGUGGCUACGGGAAAUCUUCAAGAGAUAUUGGAAAGACAUUUCACUGGUCUCAGGCAGCCGUAGUUGUCACCCUCAUGCUACAAAGAAAGGCUCCAUUCCAGUCUUCUCGUCAGUUCGUAAG